CGUAGGUGGCAAGCGUUGUCCGGAAUUACUGGGCGUAAAGCGCGCGCAGGCGGCCGCUUAAAGUCUGGGGGUGAAAACCCGGGGCUCAACCCUGGGAGUGCCUUGGAUACUGGGUGGCUUGAGCAUCGGAGAGGCAAGGGGAAUUCCAUGUGUAGCGGUGAAAUGCGUAGAGAUAUGGAGGAACACCCGUGGCGAAGGCGCCUUUGCUGGCCGGUAGCUGACGCUGAGGCGCGAAAAGUGUGGGGAGCAAACAGGAUU
rnacentral:rRNA from 1 species